rnacentral:rRNA from 1 species
UACAGAGGUCCCGAGCGUUGUUCGGAUUCAUUGGGCGUAAAGGGCGCGUAGGCGGUUGGAUAAGUCAGCUGUGAAAACCACGGGCUUAACUCGUGGCCUGCAGUUGAGACUGUCUGGCUUGAGUGUGGGAGAGGAGAGUGGAAUUCCUGGUGUAGCGGUGAAAUGCGUAGAUAUCAGGAGGAACACCGGUGGCGAAGGCGGCUCUCUGGACCACAACUGACGCUGAGGCGCGAAAGCUAGGGGAGCAAACAGG